rnacentral:lncRNA from 1 species
AUGCCCUUUGUUGCUGCUCUGAAAAGUGUCCAUGCCCUUGGCUACCUGAUCUGCCUGACUCACGUAUGCAUUAGAGAGAGGGUUUGUGGGCUCAUAAAGAGGCUAACCAUGCCCUGGGAAGCAGCAAUGGAAGGGACCUUGCGUAUUGUUGGGUCAGGCUCCAACACGGCUGUGUGCCAACAGCUCCAUCCUGUAGUGCCCCAGCUCUCAGGGGUGUUGCAGAGAUCCAGGCAGCUGAGUAAGGAAAGAGCUCAUCUUUCUUUGGAUCCUGACAUGCAUCACGGGCAGACACGCAACGAGCCCCAUGAUGACCACCGGCUCCUGUCUUGCAGGGCUCGGUGCGCUACGUUCACAGCAGCUCUUUCGGGUACCUGCCACUACGUGUUAGUCAUCCUUCACUAGAAGCCAACGUGCCACGGAACUGAAAACUGUAAUUUAGUUCACCGAGUCUGAGAAAGGGACCUCGUUCCAGUUCCUCGUAUCUGGACUCAAUCUGUGGUCUCAAUGGUGUUCCUGGUGAAAAGAUCAAUUCUUCACAAGACUAUUGCACCGUGGGCAGCACUGAAGACUGGGCUGCAGAAGGAGGGAAGGAGUGGUGCAGGGGCUGAACCUAUUCCCGAGGAAAAUGCGGGCAGAGCGGUUUGGGGCAGUAUGGAGAGGGGCUGCUGUGCUGCUUUGCUGCUGCCCGCCCUAGCCCUGUCAGCUGCCAGCAGCACUCGUCCAGGUUUUCGUGACCGCACCCAUGAGCUAUCAAUAAAAGCACAUAUUGCCUGCUUGUUAAAUUCCCAGUUUGCUCUUAGCCACAGCCACACUGAGCCUGAGCACAUCUGGGAAAGCCUGAAUAAAUUUUCUCCAGCUGUAGGUUUCAAGUGAUGAUUCCUUGCUUUAGAAUCGCCUUUUACACACAGUCAGCUAUUCGGUCAAAUGCACACUCAUGCAAUAUGCAAACACAAAAUUAAAAGUGAAGGAUUUUAAACGUGGGUACUUAAAAUGCACAUCUCCCCAGCAGCAUGAUAAUGGGACUUCAAACAUCAGCACUCUCUCUGAUGGAAAUGCCUUCCUCCCCCUCCCCACUGCUCCCUUCUGCCCUUGGGGCCCCACAGACCCUGGGGUACCGCUGAGCUGUUUCCCACACCAAGCCCCCGUGGCCCCCCCAGCAUCCCCUCGCCAGCUUCCCACCCCCCUCUCGCUC